rnacentral:sRNA from 1 species
CGAUCUGCUGAGGGCAUAUAAAAUGAAUAUGGGAGUCAAUUCCUCCCGCCGUUACGAUCAGUCCUUCCGCCGCCAGCGCCUCUGUCGAAGCCCCCACCGUCAUUUCAGGUGUUACUCCGUCCAUGAUAUCGGGAUUGCCAGCUUUGCCAAUUCCUGCUAUUUUUCCAUCUUUUAUUCCGAUAUCAGCCUUAUAAAUUCCCGUAUAAUCAAUAAUAAGCGCGUUGGUCAAUACCAGAUCCAGAUCUCCCCCGGCGCUGGUUGUUAGUACGGACUGUCCCAUCCCGUCCCU